rnacentral:rRNA from 1 species
AACGAACGCUGGCGGCGUGUUUAAGACAUGCAAGUCGCACGGGAUAAGACAUGUAGUAAUACUUGUUUUAUUUAGUGGCGCACGGGUGAGUGACACGUGAAUUACAUGCCCUAUAGUGGGGAAUAGCCCAGGGAAACUUGGAUUAAUACCCCAUGGUAUCGAAAGAUUAAAGGUGGCCGCAAGGCUGUCGCUAUAGGAUUGGUUCGCGCCCUAUCAGCUUGUUGGUGAGGUAACGGCUCACCAAGGCAAUGACGGGUACCUGGUCUGAGAGGACGAUAAGGCACACUGGAACUGAGACACGGUCCAGACACCUACGGGUGGCAGCAGUCGAGAAUAAUUCACAAUGGGGGCAACCCUGAUGGUGCAACGCCGCGUGGAGGAUGACGGUCUUCGGAUUGUAAACUCCUGUCAUCUGGGAGAAAGACCUGACGGUAAAUAGCCGGCAGGGUUGAUAGUACCAGAAGAGGAAGGGACGGCUAACUUCGUGCCAGCAGCCGCGGUAA